rnacentral:lncRNA from 1 species
ACUAAAUGCCACGAUCCUUCUCAGCUACCUUGGCAGCAUUCUGUCAGAAACCAGUCAACAAACAGAGCAGGGAAAAACAGCACCCCGAAGACAGCAUUCAGGACCCAGCCCUUUAGACAAAAGGGAUCAGAUCAGGUCUACUAGAUGGCCUCAUUCAGUCAGACACACCCAGUUAAGCAGCCCUGGAAAGGGACUCUAGAGAAUGCUAGAAGUACUGUGAAGCUCGCAGAUGGCCUUGUGGACUUUAGCACUUCAGGUGAGAAGACAACAGUCUCCCAGCAAAAUGUUGCAAGCAGCACAGGCUCAGGAAUGGACAGACUGGCAGGCAAGACACAGCAAGAAGGCAGCAGUCUGCACACCAGGAGGAGAGUCCUCACCACAACUCAGCCCUGCCACACCCUGAUCCUGGACUUUCAGCCUCCAGAGCUGUGAGAAAUAAAUGCCUGCUGUUUCAGCAGCUCAGUCUAUGGUAUUUUGUUGUGGCAGCCUGGGCUAAGAGUGAAAAGGGACAGUUCCAGGCAGAGGGAACAAUCCCUACAAAGGCUGAAAAUGAAGACAGAGAUAGUAAGCCACAGCGGGAUAAAAGAUGAGGGACACACUGGGAUGAGAAAGUGGGGCUCUUAGAGACCCGGCCUGAGUGUUGGACUCAGCCCCUCCUGAGGGCACCAGAGGCCACAGAGGUGCCUGAGAGAAGAGCUCAACCAGAUCUGCACAUGAGGAAGACGGCUCAGGCUGCAGUGUGGAAACUGGGUGAGAACAGGAGGGAGGCCGAGGCAGAGCCUUCAGUCCAGCCAGGUGGGAGGUGAGACCCCUGGAUGAGGAGUGCGGCCAUCAGAGGGAUGUCAGGGACACAUACAAAAGCUGCUUAGGAAGUAGAAGAGACUGACUUUGGUGAAAGUUGGGGAGGAAGAGGCCAGCGUCAUGCUCAGAUGUCUGGCUUUUGCACUUGGAUGGAAGAGGGGUUUCUAAUCUCUCCCGAGUGGGGCUGCCCUCCAGGCUGGGUCUCCCAUGUGGCAGGGAUUCUGUCAUACAUGAUUGGAUACAGUCCCCAUGACAAUGGCGUGUGCUGCAGUUACUCAUCUGAGACCACACAGGCGGCGAGUGAGUGAGGCAGCUGUUGUUUCAACCCACAUGUGACCUGCCCACGUCCACUCUGCAACACCCACAGGGCUAGACAUCUCAUCAGUUGCAGAAUCUUCUUGCCAGCCAUUGUCGCACCUGCUGUUCCCAAGCU